rnacentral:rRNA from 1 species
CCUACGGGAGACAGCAGUGAGGAAUAUUGGUCAAUGGACGAGAGUCUGAACCAGCCAAGUAGCGUGAAGGAUGACUGCCCUAUGGGUUGUAAACUUCUUUUAUAUGGGAAUAAAAUGUUCCACGUGUGGGAUUUUGUAUGUACCAUAUGAAUAAGGCUCGGCUAACUCCGUGCCAGCAGCCGCGGUAAUACGGAGGAUCCGAGCGUUAUCCGGAUUUAUUGGGUUUAAAGGGAGCGUAGGUGGAUUGUUAAGUCAGUUGUGAAAGUUUGCGGCUCAACCGUAAAAUUGCAGUUGAAACUGGCAGUCUGGAGUGCAGUAGAGGUGGGCGGAAUUCGUGGUGUAGCGGUGAAAUGCUUAGAUAUCACGAAGAACUCCGAUUGCGAAGGCAGCUCACUGGACUGCAACUGACACUGAGGCUCGAAAGUGUGGGUAUCAAACAGGAUUAGAUACCCCAGUAGUC